rnacentral:misc_RNA from 1 species
AAACCGUGCAUAUUGCCC